AUGGCGAUGGGCAGCACGAGGUUGAUGUUGAGCGCCUUGAGCUUGAUGGUGGUGCAGAGGCAGAGCGCGGCGUCGAGGUCAGCCACGCCGGAUAACAGCGGGCAGCAGCUGUCGCUAGCGCUGCUGCCGAUCACCGCGUGCACCAGCCCGUUGAGCGCGUCCACGCACCCCAACAGUUUCAGCGUAUCGAUGGGGCACUGGCCCGUCGACGGCGAUGGC
rnacentral:rRNA from 1 species